AUUGACCUCGGAUCAGGUAGGGAUACCCGCUGAACUUAAGCAUAUCAAUAAGCGGAGGAAAAGAAACCAACAGGGAUUGCCCUAGUAACGGCGAGUGAAGCGGCAACAGCUCAAAUUUGAAAUCUGGCUCCUUUGGGGUCCGAGUUGUAAUUUGUAGAGGGUGCUUUGGCGUUGGUUGUGGUCUAAGUUCCUUGGAACAGGACGUCACAGAGGGUGAGAAUCCCGUACGUGGCCGCCAGCCUCCGCCGUGUAAAGCCCCUUCGAUGAGUCGAGUUGUUUGGGAAUGCAGCUCUAAAUGGGAGGUAAAUUUCUUCUAAAGCUAAAUAUUUGCCAGAGACCGAUAGCGCACAAGUAGAGUGAUCGAAAGAUGAAAAGCACUUUGGAAAGAGAGUCAAAAAGCACGUGAAAUUGUUGAAAGGGAAGCGCUUGCAGCUAGACGUGCCUUGGGUUGAUCAGCCGGACUUUUGCCCGGUGCACUCUUCCUUUGGCAGGCCAGCAUCAGUUUGGGCGGCUGGAUAAAGGUCUGUUAAACGUGACUUCCUUCGGGGAGAGCUUAUAGGGCAGACGACAUGCAGCCAGCCUGAACUGAGGUCCGCGCAUCUGCUAGGAUGCUGGCGUAAUAGCUGUAAGCGGCCCGUCUUGAAACACGGACCAAGGAGUCUAACAUCUAUGCGAGUGUUUGGGUGUCAAGCCCGAGCGCGUAAUGAAAGUAAACGGAGGUGGGAACCUUUUAGGUGCACCAUCGACCGAUCCUGAUGUCUUCGGAUGGAUUUGAGUAAGAGCAUAGCUGUUGGGACCCGAAAGAUGGUGAACUAUGCCUGAAUAGGGUGAAGCCAGAGGAAACUCUGGUGGAGGCUCGCAGCGGUUCUGACGUGCAAAUCGAUCGUCAAAUUUGGGCAUAGGGGCGAAAGACUAAUCGAACUAUCUAGUAGCUGGUUCCUGCCGAAGUUUCCCUCAGGAA
rnacentral:rRNA from 1 species